UGAACCAGCUCGAGCCCUGAGGUCUGCAGGGAGGCCCUCCUCUUGGUCCCACCCCCAUCACAAGCACAUCUGGAGGGAAUGAGAGAGAGGGACUUUACAGUGGUAGCUUCCUGGCUCUGGAAUACCAUUCCUAAGGAAAUUAGAUUGGUUCCCUCCUUGUUGAUUUUUAGAAAGCAACUUAAAACUUGGCUCUGGAAGCAAGCUUUUGGGGACGAUCAGUCUUAAAUGGAGAGGCGGUCCAACCAUAAGGCGAAAUAGGCAUUUGCCUGUGGCGCCAUUGUCCCGGGGGCACCAUCGUCCUGGGAGGAGGGCACCACUCUCCACCUCCUUCUCUUUCGGGCCUUCCAGCGGCCGCGCUGGGCCUUCCGGCCAGUGCAGACCCACCUUCGCACCACGCAAGUCCACCUUUGGGGCCUUCAGAGAUUGUGAGGUCUGUAGGAACUUGGAAGCUAGCAGGUCAUCCCACAGUCUAAAGACAGCUGAUGACAAGGUCCUCUGGAUGAGGGUUGCCAUUCUAGUCCUGGCUGAUUGAAGCAAGUGUUUCCUAAAAAGUGUCUCCACCCUAAUUGUAUGGGAUGAAUUGUUUGGGAUGAGGCCAUCCUGCAGGUGACCUGGACUCAAACCAUCUAGGACUUCAAAGGUAAUAAGCAACACUUUGGACUUUGACCAGAAACUAAUUGGCAACUAGAGCCAUGUUGGGGCAUAACAUUCACUUAUGACCUUCAAAACAAAGUUAUGAGUGGGACAGAUUUUGACAUAAAGUAUUUUUGAGUCACUUGUUUAUUCAAAUAAUAUAUAAAUGUUUCUUUGAAAAAAAGAAAAAAAAGCAACAUCAAAAUGUUUCCACUAUAUAAAUCAUUCCCUUCCUGUUUUUAAAGGCAUUGGUUCAGAAGUAAUUGUGUGCCUGGAAAAAAUCAUAUUUAAAUCACCAGUUUCCGACUCUUGUUCCAUGUGACUAAGAAGCAGGCAUUAUAUCAUGUUGAUACAUUACAAGAACCUGUUGCCUCUUUUUGCUGUGAAGGGAUGGCAUUUAAAUGCCUUACAGUUAAUGUAUGUUAUUCAGGUAUAGCUAAAAUACGACCAGCAUCCCAUGACAGAUGGGGACUCCUGUGUGAAUUUUUAAAUCAAGUGAAUCUUUACUCUGUAGUGGAAAUAGAAUAAAAUAUUGGC
rnacentral:lncRNA from 11 species